UAAUGACCGUUAUUAUAUUUUAGACGUGACCUAAACUCGACUCACCUCUCCUAUGGAGAUCUGGAAUAGUGAGCGGCUUUCCAUCGACUUCUCCGUCGACCUGUGAGGAAUAACGCCACAUCUCACCGCGUUCCUUCAUGUCUGGUUGUUCAUGCUCAUUCCACUGAACCCGGUCGUGGUCGCAGUGAUGCGGAUCGCUGUCGUCCUACGCCAUCAAAUCAAGCAAUUUAACAGAAGAUUAUAUAUCGAAUAAACCCUAGGCGAUAUGCACCCUGAUGGCAGGCGAGGGGCUCACCACAGGCAGGAGGUGCAGGACAGCGUCUCCUGUUAGGGACCCCACAGCCAUGCUGAUGCAGAACUGAAUGCUGAGCUGGAAG